ACGCUCGACACCUACGGGAGGCAGCAGUGGGGAAUAUUGCACAAUGGGGGAAACCCUGAUGCAGCAACGCCGCGUGAGUGAAGAAGUAUUUCGGUAUGUAAAGCUCUAUCAGCAGGGAAGAUAAUGACGGUACCUGACUAAGAAGCUCCGGCUAAAUACGUGCCACAGCCGCGGUAAUCUGAGCGGGCGUGGCAAGGC
rnacentral:rRNA from 1 species